GAUGAACGCUGGCUACAGGCUUAACACAUGCAAGUCGUGGGGAAACGGCAUUAUGUGCUUGCACAUUCUGGACGUCGACCGGCGCACGGGUGAGUAUCGCGUAUCCAACCUGCCCCUUACUUGGGGAUACCCCGUUGAAAGACGGCCUAAUACCCGAUGUGUUUCAUUGACGGCAUCCGAUAUGAAACAAAGGUUUUUCCGGUAAGGGAUGGGGAUGCGUCUGAUUAGCUUGUUGGCGGGGCAACGGCCCACCAAGGCAACGAUCAGUAGGGGUUCUGAGAGGAAGGUCCCCCACAUUGGAACUGAGACACGGUCCAAACUCCUACGGGAGGCAGCAGUGAGGAAUAUCGGUCAAUGGACGCAAGUCUGAACCAGCCAAGUAGCGUGCAGGAUGACGGCCCUAUGGGUUGUAAACUGCUUUUAUGUGGGAAUAAAGUGGCGCACGUGUGCGCCAUUGCAUGUACCUCAUGAAUAAGGACCGGCUAAUUCCGUGCCAGCAGCCGCGGUAAUACGGAAGGUCCGGGCGUUAUCCGGAUUUAUUGGGUUUAAAGGGAGUGUAGGCGGUCUGUUAAGCGUGUUGUGAAAUUUAGGUGCUCAACAUUUAACUUGCAGCGCGAACUGUCAGACUUGAGUACACACAGCGCAGGCGGAAUUCAUGGUGUAGCGGUGAAAUGCUUAGAUAUCAUGAGGAACUCCGAUCGCGAAGGCAGCCUGCGGGAGUGUUACUGACGCUUAAGCUCGAAGGUGCGGGUAUCGAACAGGAUUAGAUACCCUGGUAGUCCGCACAGUAAACGAUGGAUGCCCGCCGUUGGCGCCCUGCGCCUGCGGCCAAGCGAAAGCAUUAAGCAUCCCACCUGGGGAGUACGCCGGCAACGGUGAAACUCAAAGGAAUUGACCGGGGCCCGCACAAGCGGAGGAACAUGUGGUUUAAUUCCGAUGAUACGCGAGGACCCUUACCCCGGGG
rnacentral:rRNA from 1 species